AUGCCCGAUGCGGCGCACAUUGUUUUCUUAAGGUGGGCCGGCGGAGUUCCCACCCCGACCCGCCGCCGGGGGUUCCCGGCUUUUGCCGGGUUUGGGUCUCACGGCUGCAAGAAACCCUGCAGGUCCCCCGUUCUCGUGCCUCCUGCAGCAGCUGCCGGCGCAGCCGAUGUCCCAGUGGCUUCCCCAUGGCCAUGGGGCGAGCCGGGAAGCGUGUACACCGGGAAGCCCCUGGGGAAGGUGCAGGAAGCAGCCGGGCCAGAGGAAGGGAUGGUUCAGUGCCUCGAGUGCUCACCCGGGGCUAGGAUGAUGGGGGCUAGAGUUCCCCCCCCCCCGUGUGCCGCAGGCUUCCUGCGUGACCGCGAGCACGGCCAUAGCUUUGGCACCACGUGGCCCGAGGCUCUCGGUGGCACGCACCUGGGAAGGCUCACCACCACCACAAGGCAUUUCUGCACCAUCCGAGGGACAGCGCGGGGCCAGCGGCCAAGCCGGAGAGCCCAUGCUGGGGCCAGCCAUGGAGCAGGACAGCAAGACGGUGCCUUGCGCAAGCAGGUGUUUUGGAGUGCCACGCAAGGUGGAUGGGCCAGCUUGGCCCACCGGGGUCACACAAAACAAGGGGACUCCAGCGUGGACGACUGGAGGCUGGAUGGGGAGGCAGAGGCAUCYGCAGCCCUCUCUCUGCAAGGGGCUGCUGCAGACGCGCCCUGGGGGCGAGCRCAGCGCGGGUUUGGGCAUCCCCGCGAUGUCCCCACCGUCCCCGCCGAGGGGGACCCGGGGGCAGAACAAAGCUGCUUCUCAGCACAGCGCAGGGAGGCCCGCUCCCCCGACGCACGCGGGAGUGCCAUGCAAGACACACGCCGCUCUGUGCCGCGUGGCUCCCCGCGCCUGCUCCGCCACGGCAUUAAUGGGAGCUUGUUCUCCGAGCGUCACCGGCUCCCUCCGCGGCUCGGGGGAGGCGAGAGCCUCCCGACGAGGCAGCCGGCAGGGGAGAAGGGGUGCAAAGGAGGAAGACGUCUAGACACGAGCACCCGUGCGACACRUGUCCCUGCACCAUCCUACAGCCGCCCCACUUCUCCCCGACACGAAGGUCCCYCCCAGGGGACACGCAAAGAUGCUUCCUCCACAGCCUGCCCCGCCGCGGCUCYUCUUGCCACCCGCGGGCAUGUCAGCAGGGCUGAGAUCAUUCCCAGAGCCCCAGGCAGGCACACUGGUCUGCAGCAGUUUUGGACCAGACGCGAUGCUGGGAGCUCCCCAAACCCCCCUGCUUCUCCCUCCRCCUGCCCAGGGCUGGGCUAG
rnacentral:lncRNA from 1 species